GUGCCAGCAGCCGCGGUAAUACGUAGGUGGCAAGCGUUGUCCGGAAUUAUUGGGCGUAAAGCGCGCGCAGGCGGUUUCUUAAGUCUGAUGUGAAAGCCCCCGGCUCAACCGGGGAGGGUCAUUGGAAACUGGGGAACUUGAGUGCAGAAGAGGAGAGUGGAAUUCCACGUGUAGCGGUGAAAUGCGUAGAGAUGUGGAGGAACACCAGUGGCGAAGGCGACUCUCUGGUCUGUAACUGACGCUGAGGCGCGAAAGCGUGGGGGAGCGAACAGGAUUAGAUACCCUGGUAGUCCACGCCGUAAACGAUGAGUGCUAAGUGUUAGAGGGUUUCCGCCCUUUAGUGCUGCAGCAAACGCAUUAAGCACUCCGCCUGGGGAGUACGGUCGCAAGCAUGAAACUCAAAGGAAUUGACGG
rnacentral:rRNA from 1 species